rnacentral:rRNA from 1 species
GACGAACGCUGGCGGCGUGCCUAAUACAUGCAAGUAGAACGCUGAAGAGAGGAGCUUGCUCUUCUUGGAUGAGUUGCGAACGGGUGAGUAACGCGUAGGUAACCUGCCUUGUAGCGGGGGAUAACUAUUGGAAACGAUAGCUAAUACCGCAUAACACUGGAUGACACAUGUCAUUUAUUUGAAAGGGGCAAUUGCUCCACUACAAGAUGGACCUGCGUUGUAUUAGCUAGUAGGUGAGGUAAUGGCCCACCUAGGCGACGAUACAUAGCCGACCUGAGAGGGUGAUCGGCCACACUGGGACUGAGACACGGCCCAGACUCCUACGGGAGGCAGCAGGAGGGAAUCUUCGGCAAUGGGGGCAACCCUGACCGAGCAAAGCCGCGUGAGGGAAGAAGGUUUUCGGAUCGUAAAGCUCUGUUGUAAGUCAAGAACGGGUGUGAGAGUGGAAAGUUCACACUGUGACGGUAGCUUACCAGAAAGGGACGGCUAACUACGUG